rnacentral:lncRNA from 1 species
UAAAAGAUGUCGUGUACUGGAAUUUUGGGCCAGCCCAACACUUUAAUUUUCUUUGGUAAAAUUGAAAAUUGGGCUUUUCAAUUAUCCAGCCCAAAGAGAAAAAUUGAUGCAAAAAUUGACCCAGCCCAAAACCUUGCCUGUUGGUGUUAAAAUUGAACCACGACAUUAAUUCCCAAAUCCAUUCUCUCCCGGCUUCUCAGUCUCCCUCUCUGCUCGGCGCUUUGUUCUCUUGAAUGGAGUCCUAACUGAGUUUAUAUCGGCUUCAAAUCUGCCUCUGCUUGGUGC